GUCUGAUCUGCAGCGUUGGUUUGAGGCUUUUGCGCAAGCUUAUUAUUGGGACGAGUCUGUUCAUGACCGAGUCUACGCCGCUUGGAGGCUCGCCGUCCGAGAUCGCCUCAAGGACAUCAUUUAUCGGGUAAAGAACAGACGCGUACGACCUGCAUGGAUGUCGACGGCGAUCUACGAUCAGCUAGUUGAAUAUUGGGAUUCACAAGAAGGAACGCAGAAGAGUCAAACAUUCUCAAGCAAUCGACGAUCCCGAGCGGAGGUCGAACGCGCACCCCCGACCCACACUGCAGGACGGAGAUCAUUUGCUCGAGUCGCCCAUGAGAUAAUGCAGAAGGAAGGUGAAGAACCUUCUGCGUUGCGAUUGCUGCAGGAGACUCACCGUCGAGCUGACGGUACUUAUAUCAGCGAUCGGGUUCAGGAAAUUGAGGAUGCGAUUC